AACGAACGCUGGCGGCAGGCCUAACACAUGCAAGUCGAGCGAGGUAGCAAUACCUAGCGGCGGACGGGUGAGUAACGCGUGGGAACGUACCCUUUGCUACGGAAUAGCCCCGGGAAACUGGGAGUAAUACCGUAUGUGCCCUUCGGGGGAAAGAUUUAUCGGCAAAGGAUCGGCCCGCGUUGGAUUAGGUAGUUGGUGGGGUAAUGGCCUACCAAGCCGACGAUCCAUAGCUGGUUUGAGAGGAUGAUCAGCCACACUGGGACUGAGACACGGCCCAGACUCCUACGGGAGGCAGCAGUGGGGAAUCUUAGACAAUGGGCGCAAGCCUGAUCUAGCCAUGCCGCGUGAGCGAUGAAGGCCUUAGGGUUGUAAAGCUCUUUCAGAUGGGAAGAUAAUGACGGUACCAUCAGAAGAAGCCCCGGCUAACUCCGUG
rnacentral:rRNA from 1 species